rnacentral:lncRNA from 1 species
UUUCAGUUUCACUCAAAACCGCACCGAACCAAAUCGUGCCCACCUCUAAUGAAAACCACUACGGUUUGCAAAUUUAUAUGGAAACGACAUAGGUAUCCAAAUUAAAAAGAAUUUGACAACAACAAAUUCAAAAAUCGAUGGACAAAUUCAAAUGACCUACACACAAAUUAUUCUUCUACCUUUUCAAUGGAAACAUAAUCUUCUACCUCUUCCGUAGAAGCGUCAUCUUCCACCUGUUCAAUGAAAAAGUCAUUUUCUAAGUCCCUUGAUAUUUUUUUACUUUCUCUGAUGAAAGGAGAUUAAAAUAAGAGUUAGGGUUUUAAGGUAGACAAAUCGUCUCCCACACUCAACCUCUUUUUUUUUUUUUUAAAUUAAGCAAAAUAAGAUAAUAAAUGUCCUUAUCAGUCAUUUUUUACUUCUCUCACACCUUUUUAGUUUUCGGCCGUCAAAUCGGAUGAAUUGAAGAAAAUCAACGGACAUAAAUUAACAAGGAGUGUGUGAAAAGUAAAAAGGAAUGUGCGGAUAGCACACCCUAUGUAUAUGUAGCUAGAGUGUGAAAGUUGCUACGCAUUGCAAAUACUAUUCAUAUACUAAAAAUCAUUAAAAGUUUGUAAGAAUAAUAUCGAAAGAUAGAUUUUUCUACAUGUUGUGGAACACGAAAGGAAAAAUUUUCUUAGAAUGCCUGCAUGAAAUAAAUCUCAAUUGUGUAAUAGAUGUUUAGUAACACAGAAGACAUACAAACAAUCAAUUUGAACCUAUUUUGGAGAAAAUCUUAGGGUCUAUUUGGUAUUCUACUUGAAUUCAACUUUUUAAACUCAAAAAUAAUUUUCAAGUUUUAAGCCUUACAAACUUGUUUGGUAUAACUGUUUUAAAAAACUGAACUAAAAAAUACAGUAUAUUCUCUAAAAACAUAAAAAAUGAGUUUUUCGAGUUUUUAAACUUAAACUCAUUCCUUUCAUUUCUCUCCCUCUUCCUCUCUCACUCCAAAUCUAUCUCUCUCUCUCCUUUUUUUUUUAUCUUUUUCAUCUCUCCUCCAAUCCGCUUUUUUCAUUCUCUCAGUUCUUUCUCUCACUCGUCUUCCUCUCUAUCUCGUCUGAUCCUCUCUCUUCUUUCUCUUUCCUUCAAUCAUCUCUUACUUCAUUUCCUCCUCUCUCAUCUUUCUCCCUCUCCUAGACCCCCUCUUUUUAGAUCUCUUUGUUUAGUUUAAGUUGUAAGAUUUAAAAAUUUUAAAUCGCAAGCCAAUCAAGUUUUUUAGUCUUAAAGAAAAUUGUUUUCAAAAAAUGUUUUGAGAAAUGAUAAAAAAUUUCAAAUAAGAUACCAAACAGGCACUUGAAUUCAACUUUUUAAACUCAAAAACAAUUUUCAAGUUAAGCCUUAAAAAUUCGUUUAGUAGGACUGUUUUCAAAAACUGAACUCAAGACAAACUAAAAAAUAUAGUCUAUUCUCUAAAAACAUAAAAAAAUGAGUUUUUAAACUUAACCUUACUUUUUUCUUUUCUCUCCCUUCUCUCCUCUCACUCCAAAUCUAUCUAUCUAUCUCUCUCUCUCUCUCUCUCUCUCUCUCUCUCUCUCUCUCUCUCUCUCUCUCUCUCUCUCUCCUUUUUUUU